rnacentral:misc_RNA from 1 species
GGAGCUGCAAACGGUUUAGUUCCUCGCCGCAAACAAAACUAGUCACAACAGCGUGGAGCGGAAGACAUCAGUCGCGAGUGAACCAGUUGAUAGUCUCACAUAUACUGGCUAAGAAAAGAGCCAGAAAUAUUUAUUUACAGAGCACCAGCUACCCAGAAAGCUUUUCGAGACAGGAGCAAGUUUUUCUGAGGUGCCCAAGUGAACGCAGCUUUCAGCGAGUUGAAACCACACUUGAUCGAUUCAUUGCCACAGAGCCACUGAACCGCCUCGCAUUCCGCGAAUACUCGUACCAAAAAAGUAAAAGAAUAAUAUAAAAUAAAGCACCACCGAAAAUGCUGCGAACCAUCACUAUACUACUGCUGAUUGCGGUGACCAUCAAUGCAAAGGCCGUAA